UGAAAUCUGCUGACAUGACCGGGUGUUCAGCAACAUAAGUCCUUGCAAUUUCUGCUUGCACACCUUCCAAAGUCUUUCAUUUUGGAACGUAUUCUAAAAAAACAUGCACGUCUUCUUUGUAAAUGGUACUACUUUGCAUUUUUGGAUAGGAAGAUACACAUAAAAUACACUUCUUCUUCAUCCAAAGAUGACGCAUCAUGUUCACCGUAGGCAGCCAUGUUGUCAGCACACAUCACCGAGCUGCUG